rnacentral:rRNA from 1 species
CCUACGGGAGGCAGCAGUGGGGAAUAUUGCGCCAUGGGCGAAAGCCUGACGCAGCGACGCCGCGUGAGGGAUGAAGGUCUUCGGAUCGUAAACCUCUGUCAGCAGGGACGAACGGUCACUGUGCUAAUCAGCAGUGAAUUGACGGUACCUGCAAAGGAAGCACCGGAUAACCCCGUGCCCGGCGCAGCGGUAAUCAGGAGGGUGCGAGCGUUAAUCGGAAUUACUGGGCGUAAAGCGCUCGUAGGCGGUAUGGCAAGUCAAGGGGGAAAUCGCCGAGCUCAACGUGGGAACUGCCUUUGAAACCGGCAACAUGGAGUGUGUGAGAGGAUAGUGGAAUUCCAGGUGUAGUAGUGAAAUCCGUAGAUAUCUGGAGGAACAUCAGUGGCGAAGGCGACUAUCUGGCACAUAACUGACGCUGAGGAGCGAAAGCGUGGGUAGCAAACAGGAUUAGAUACCCCGGUAGUC